rnacentral:lncRNA from 1 species
GGAGGCGGUACUUCCUCCAGCAUUUGCCGCGAGUUAUUGGCAAGUUCCCCUGCAGUUGUUUGGGCUGUCGCUGUGGCUGGUUCUGCGGUGUGCGGCCAGCCAUGGAGCGCUCUGGGCCCAGCGAAGUGACAGGCUCAGACGCAUCGGGACCGGACCCGCAGCUUGUGGUCACCAUGGGCUUCACGGGGUUCGGGGUUCGGUAAAAAAGCUCACACAUUUGACUUGGAAGCAAUGUUUGAACAAACUCAAAGAACAGCUGUGGAAAGAAGUCACAAAACACUGGGCCACCAGGAACACACCUGUAGCCCAGCAAAGUUGAGGCCAUCGACUGGCUCAUCACAACAAGGAAGGCUGUGCACCACUGGGACCCAGCAGCAGCUCAGCAGCAGCAGUGAGAGGGCCUUGGGAAAGACUUGGAGGGUUUGGCUUAUACAAGACCAGAUUACAGAGGGGUAUUGAUUUGCCUUGCCCCCGCCCCCACCAUCACAGUGUGUCCCUGUCCAGUGUUGGUGCUGUGUGGCAUUGCUUGUGUCCAUAGGAGUCCAUCAAGGCAGAGCGGCAGAGCGGCAAGCAGAGCGGCAAGGCAGGUCAGCUUCCGGCUCUUCCAGGCUGCAUGUCCCCCUCAAUAUCCUUUCAACCCAAUGGAAAUGGAUUGAAAGAGUGAAAGUCACUGGUCUCAAAGAAUCUACGGAAUUUAGCAUUUUGAAAAUCACAGAGCAAUUUUGGGUAGGUAUUCACAUGCACUAAAAAACCAGGCAAACAUCUGACUCCCAGGAUAAAGUGACUGAGAGCAGUAGAAGACUUGUUGAGCCUUAAGGAAUAAGAGGAAAAUUAUGUUAUGAAGUGCAGGAACAGCACAGACCCAGACGAGGGGAUGCAGCCCGGAGCCAGUAACCCGGCGCCUCCUCCUCCCCAGGGCGCAGCGCUGGCUGCUCCCCGGAUACCGUGAUCACACGUCCCAGGUCCUGAGAGCGCCUCAUAGGUAGACAGUUCUUUGGGACUUUUGGGACGCAGCACUUGAAGAGAGGUUUACCUAAACUUUCCUCCUGGGAGCCUGUCAUCAUUUGAAAGUAACAGAAGAAAGCUGUCAGGCUGAGGAAAGUUUCAACAGGCACUUGGUGAGAAUGGGAAGCAUCCAUUCAUUGGGAAAUCACGGGGACAGAGGAGGAAUUCACGGGAUCAGAGCACUGAGAAACUCCAGAGGCUUCUGGUUCACCGCCCUGAUUCCACAGAUGUGGGUCAGAGGCAGAGAUGGAAGUUGGAAUGGACAAGCCUGCCCUCUCCUCAGCUCUCCAUGGCUCUGUCCUCAGGCUGUUUCUGCAAUUUGACAUGAGGCCUGGCCCCAGGGAAACCAGUGGGGCCUCAUCUCCUCCCUGUGCUGCUCUGAGGUGGAGCCUUCUCAGGGUCAGUCCAGCUCUGGAGCCCCUCUCCAGCUCGGUCACCAAAGCUGUCUGGUCCCAGGGCAGUGUGGAGUGACAGGCACGCCAGCCAAUCCAAUCGGCCAUUUCAUACCCAAUGCAUGUGACUGAUAAAGAGAUAACACCCUGUCUCCAAGACACAGGCUUUACAUAAACAGCUUUAAUGACUUCUUCACUUAGGGACAAGACUCCUUAGUGGUGGAACCUCAGGCAUCCAUGCAGGAUGUAAGAAAGCUCCCGUAUAUACAUGAACUGAGAAGUGUGUAGAAGAGUAAAUACUGUAAUAGGUAAUAAAAUGUAUGUAUUUUUAUUUAUGUGCUACUUUGUCUUUCUCCCUCUCUGUGUAUAUACACAUACAUACAAAAAUGUAUUCAUUCUAUGGAAAACAUGAAAGAUGUAAUAUUCUUUACAUAUUUAAUUAAUGUAUUUUUUCUGAUCAUAUGAACACCACAAAUAUAAUUUUAUAAUUUUUUUACCUAACAAUAAGUCUUAAACAUAAAUAUACAUGGACAAUAUCAUAGUUUUUUUUUUAAUCAUAAUUAAAAUGGUUGUGAAACAAAAAAAAAAAAAA